AAGCUGAAAUAUUUUCUAAGUCCUGGCUGACGGAAGGGACUUACGGACCGUAGAUCCAUCGACGGUUCGUAAGUCAGUCUCGUGGAAUGAAGACGUGUACCUGAAACAAACUUUCCUUAAUUUGUUUCCCUUUUUAUUUAGGAUUUGUUUUCUAUAAAUAGGGCAUGUAAACCUCAUUUUUGGGGGUUAGACAUUAUUAUUUUAGUUUUACUUUGUGACUUGGGAGAUCAAUU
rnacentral:lncRNA from 1 species